UUUUUCCACAAGUAUGUUGCUAAUAGUAAUACUUAAAAACUUUUUCAAAAUUUAAUUUAUAGCUACUGAAAGAUUCUAAAAUGUAGUAUGGAUCCAAAUUCCAUUGGCAUGUCUAUAGUUCAGAAAAAAAGAAAAUUUCAAGUUAAAAGAAGACAUGAUGAUACAAUCUUCCAAGCACCAAAAUCAAAAGCGGCGAAGAAAGAAUUUAUUAGAAAGGAAACUAAGUCUUCAUCGAAAAAGACUCAAAAUGGGAAAAAAGCCAAACCAAUACCUAAAACUCUGAAGAAAAGCAACAGAAAGCAAUUGAAGAAAACAAAGAAGCAAGCAUCACCGAGUAUAUCGGAUUUUAGUUCUGAAUCAGAAUAUGACUGUCCAAACUUCAAAUUUAGAGCAUAUUUUUCUUGAAUCUCAUCUUUCAUGCGAUUUCAAAUGAAUGAGUAGUAACCUAUUUAACUAACCGCUUAUAAAAUUCGAGGUUUUUCUACGUAAAAUAAAGUUAUGUUUUUUAUUAUU